UCCAAGUCAUGUGACUCGGGUCCAAGUCAUGUGACUCGGGUCCAAGUCAUGUGACUCGGGUCUCCACCUGCGCUGCUGCUUUGCAUUGAGUCUGGAAAAUGACACAAUCAGGCACAGAAUCUGAAAAGGGGACGUAAUGUUUUGCUAUGGAUGGUCAACGCUACGAUAGCAAGAUAAGAAUCUCACAGGACUGUGGAGAACCUGCCUGCCCUGAGGAGGAGACUCAGCUGUUGGGUUGAAGUGUGUUGGACCAGAGAGACAUUAAGAGCUGCAGGACUCCGGACCUCCAGGACCAGGACUGGCUGAGAGGUUUGGAAGGAGAGGACACACCUUCAAUGCAUAUAUUAAAAUGAGGAAAACGCCUCUUAAUAAAAGUCUGCACUUCACAGCAACAAGCCGUUCCCAAAGGAACCUUUGCUUUUAAUGUCUGUUUAUGGUUUGAACUUGUGGAUGAUUUGGAUGUGAUGCUGAUCUGUUUUCCUAUGAAUAAAACUAGACAUGUC